UAUUGAUGUUAAACCCAUGAUAUUUCAUUGAAUUAUGUGAAUAAUGAAAAUGUUAUUGUUAAAUACAUAAAAUUUGAUUGAAUUGUGGGAAUGAUAAAAGUGUGAUGUUAAACCCAUGAAAUUUGAUUGAAUUGUGGGAAUGAUGAAAAUGAUGAUGUUAAACCCAUGAAAUUUGAUUGAAUUGUGGGAAUGAUGAAAAUGUUGAUGUUAAACCCAUGAAAUUUGAUUGAAUUGUGGGAAUAAAUGAAAAUAUUGUUGUUAAAACCAUGAAAUUUGAUUGAAUUAUGUGAAUGAUGAAAAUUUUGUUGUUAAACCUAUAAAAUUUGAUUGAAUUGUGGGAAUGAUGAAAAUGUUGUUGUUAAACCCAUGAAAUUUGACUGAAUUGUGGGAAUGAUGAAAAUGUUGAUGAUAAACCCGUGAAAUUUGAUUGAAUUGUAGGAAUGAUGGAAAUGUUGAUGUUAAACCCAUGAAAUUUGAUUGAAUUGUGGGAAUGAUGAAAAUGAUUAUGUUAAACCCAUGAAAUUUGAUUGAAUUGUGGUAAUGAUGAAAAUGUUGAUGUUAAACCCAUAAAAUUUGAUUGAAUUGUGGGAAUGAUGAAAAUGAUGAUGUUAAACCCAUGAAAUUUGAUUGAAUUAUAGGAAUGAGGAAACUGUUGAUGUUAAACCCAAGAAAUUUGAUUGAAUUGAGGGAAUGAUGAAAAUGAUGAUCUUAAACCCAUGAAAUUUGAUAGAAUUGUGGGAAUAAAUGAAAAUAUUAUUGUUAAAACCAUGAAAUAUGAUUGAAUUAUGUGAAUGAUGAAAAUUUUGUUAUUAAAACUAUAAAAUUUGAUUGAAUUGUGGGAAUGAUGAAAAUGUUGAUGUUAAACCUAUGAAAUUUGAUUGAAUUGUGUGAAUAAUGAAAAUGUUAUUGUUAAAACCAUAAAAUUUGAUUGAAUUGUAGGAAUGAUAAAAAUGUGAUGUUAAACCCAUGAAAUUUGAUUGAAUUGUGGGAAUGAUGAACAUGAUGAUGUUAAACCCAUGAAAUUUGAUUGAAUCGUUGGAAUGAUGAAAAUGUUGAUGUUAAAACCAUAAAAUUUGAUUGAAUUGUGGGAAUGAUAAAAGUGUGAUGUUAAACCCAUGAAAUUUGAUUGAAUUGUGGGAAUGAUGAACAUGAUGAUGUUAAACCCAUGAAAUUUGAUUGAAUUGUUGGAAUAAUGAAAAUGUUGAUGUUAAACCCAUGAAAUUUUAAUGAAUUGUGGGAAUGAUGAAAAUGAUGAUGUUACACACAUGAAAUUUGAUUGAGUUAUGGGAUUAAGGAAAUGUUGAUGUUAAACCCAUGAAAUUUGAUUGAAUUGUGGGAAUGAUGAAAAUGAUGAUGUUAAACCCAUGAAAUUUGAUUGAAUUGUGGGAAUGAUGAAAAUGUUGAUGUUAAACCCAUGAAAUUUGAUUGAAUUGUGGGAAUGAUCAAAAUGAUGAUGUUAAACCCAUGAAAUUUGAUUGAAUUGUGGGAAUAAAUGAAAAUAUUGUUGUUAAAACCAUGAAAUUUGAUUGAAUUAUGUGAAUGAUGAAAAUGUUGUUGUUAAACCCAUCAAAUUUGAUUGAAUUGUGGGAAUGAUGAAAAUAUUGAUGUUAAACCCAUGAUAUUUCAUUGAAUUAUGUGAAUAAUGAAAAUGUUAUUGUUAAAUACAUAAAAUUUGAUUGAAUUGUGGGUAUGAUAAAAGUGUGAUGUUAAACCCAUGAAAUUUGAUUGAAUUGUGGGAAUGAUGAAAAUGAUGAUGUUAAACCCAUGAAAUUUGAUUGAAUUGUCGGAAUGAUGAAAAUGUUGAUGUUAAACCCACGAAAUUUGAUUGAAUUGAGGGAAUGAUGAAAAUGAUGAUGUUAAACCCAUGAAAUUUGAUUGAAUUGUGGGAAGAAACGAAAAUAUUGUUGUUAAAACCAUGAAAUUUGAUUGAAUUAUGUGAAUGAUGAAAAUUUUGUUGUUAAACCUAUAAAAUUUGAUUGAAUUGUGGGAAUGAUGAA
rnacentral:lncRNA from 1 species